rnacentral:rRNA from 1 species
UUAAACUGAAGAGUUUGAUCAUGGCUCAGAUUGAACGCUGGCGGCAGGCUUAACACAUGCAAGUCGAGCGGAAACGAUGGUAGCUUGCUACCAGGCGUCGAGCGGCGGACGGGUGAGUAAUGCUUAGGAAUCUGCCCAGUAGUGGGGGAUAGCCCGGGGAAACUCGGAUUAAUACCGCAUACGCCCUUUUG